GGAAUGGUAUGGGAGUGACGGUACUUUACCAGAAAGCCACGGCUAACUACGUGCCAGCAGCCGCGGUAAUACGUAGGUGGCGAGCGUUAUCCGGAAUUAUUGGGCGUAAAGGGUGCGCAGGCGGUUUGUUAAGUUUAAGGUGAAAGCGUGGGGCUUAACCCCAUAUAGCCUUAGAAACUGACAGACUAGAGUACAGGAGAGGGCAAUGGAAUUCCAUGUGUAGCGGUAAAAUGCGUAGAUAUAUGGAGGAACACCAGUGGCGAAGGCGGUUGCCUGGCCUGUAACUGACGCUCAUGCACGAAAGCGUGGGGAGCAAAUAGGAUUAGAUACCCUAGUAGUCCACGCCGUAAACGAUGAGAACUAAGUGUUGGGGAAACUCAGUGCUGCAGUUAACGCAAUAAGUUCUCCGCCUGGGGAGUAUGCACGCAAGUGUGAAACUCAAAGGAAUUGACGGGGGCCCGCACAAGCGGUGGAGUAUGUGGUUUAAUUCGACGCAACGCGAAGAACCUUACCAGGUCUUGACAUCCCCUGCAAAGACAUAGAGAUAUGUUGGAGGUUAUCAGGGAGACAGGUGGUGCAUGGUUGUCGUCAGCUCGUGUCGUGAGAUGUUGGGUUAAGUCCCGCAACGAGCGCAACCCUUGUCUUUAGUUACUAACAUUCAGUUGAGGACUCUAGAGAGACUGCCGGUGACAAACCGGAGGAAGGGGGGGAUGACGUCAAAUCAUCAUGCCCGUUAUGACCUGGGCUACACACGUACUUCAA
rnacentral:rRNA from 1 species